GACAUCAACACUUCUAUUAACAAAGAGACAUGAACAGUGAACCCUAAAUUUCUUCUCCUAACAAAGUGAGUCUUCGAGAUUGAUAUCUCGUCCUCUUCAUUCCUAGUCUCCCUGACUCUCUCUGUGUUUUUCCUGUCAGCAUGCCUUAAUUCUUCUUCUUGCUCUUUUACGCAAUUUCUCUUUCGCCUUAAAUUUCUUUCAUCCGAUAGAGAAGCCCUAGAUUCUUUUUAAGGGUUUUUUCCAGAAUCACAACUACUGUUGUUAGUGAAUAUGGCUAGUGUUUCAAAAUCAUCAGGAGGAGCAGAUACUAUGAUGUGGCAACCACAAGAAGAUGGUGUUAGAGAGAUCUGUAGUUUACUCCAAAAACAAAUAUCUCCGAAUUCACCUCUUAUUUGGUGUAGGCAACAACUGCAACAUUUUUCUCAAUUACCGGAUUUCAAUAACUAUCUUGCUUACAUUAUUGCCCGUGCUCAGGGUAUAUCUGUGGAAAUACGACAAGCAGCUGGUCUGCUCUUGAAGAAUAACUUGAAAAGUGCUUACAGAUUAACGUCUCAUUCAUUUCAGCAGUACAUAAAGUCAGAGAUGCUUCAUAGUCUGGGAGCAUCAAAUAGGCACAUUAGGUCUACAGUGGGGGGAGUUAUAAGUGUUGUCGUUCAGCAAGGAGGAAUUGUUGGCUGGCCAGAGCUGUUGCAAGCUCUUGUACAAUGCAUGGACAGUAAUGAUCUAAACCAUAUGGAGGGUGCUAUGGAUAUUUCCAUAACCAUUACAUGACCGUAUAUAUCCUCUGGGAGACGAGCAAAUCACUUCCUUCUAAUAUUACUGUAUAAGUCUUAGUUGUUGGCAACAUUUAUAUGUCCAAGCGAUAUCUUGACUGGUUUUAGCACAAAUAAAAUUGUUGAAAUCGGUAUUGGAGUAUUUGAUACAAUUGGAAUCUAUUCAGCCAGAUCCGAAUAGGACACAUUAUGUAGAUUCGUUGGUAGAGAAGUACAUAAUUCCUGGACCUGAUAAUAGCGCUAGUGUCACCGACAGAGAAGAAGUGUCGAGCACAUUUGUGAAGUUUCUGGGUCACUUUGGAGACGCAUGGUCAAUUAAGAAGGCCGGUGAUCGACAUGCAAAGCUCUUUUUGUGCCACGGGAGCUCUACCCAAUUGGGAAAACGACCUGCUCAAGCUAGUUUAGUGUCAGAUAAAACAAAACUGGCCAAGUCAUAUGCAGGUCCUCUUUCAUAUGCAGCUUAGAUCACAAAUUCAGGCUUGGGAUCAGGUGGAUCCUUGGUGAGAAGCAAUUUCAUUCAAUACGUGUAGGACUGAGUGAGAUCUGUAAAAAUCAGUGAUGAGAGGAGCAGCAGAAGAAGGUGACGAGAAGGAGCAGAAUCUGCAGACAUAUGAGAAGAUGUAGAAUUUGUGGCUCAAAUCAAGAAGUACAUGACAAAUAGCUACGUAUUUUCUCAAAUGACAUGCUUAUGGUUUUGCACAUGAUAGGCACUUCACUGCAAGUAUAUCAAUCAAAUUUCGGAUAAUUGGUGGAUAAGGUUCAUUCUUUCUCACACCCAUCCUUUCAGGACCCAUUGUAAGCAAAACAAGCUCAUCACAAACCUAUAACGUGAGGUUGCUCCCUUGGUUUC